GGGCAGAUUAAGGCCCACAGCAGCAGACUUUGACAGAGGAGUCCAGUGGACUCACAAUGCCCAUUUUAAGGAGCAGAAAACAAGAAGUCCUCACUCAUGCGUUUCUUAGUGAUCAAUAUGCUAACUCGUGGAAUGCUAAAAUCGAGGCGGAUGCUUGACAAAGAUGGAUAGAUUUGCACCGUCCGUGAAAUGUCACUGAUUCAGUGGAGGAUGUCACCUCAGGAUCGCUCGGCUGUGUGAUAAGCCUGACACAUCAGCUUGGGGUGGAAAGUGGCGUGGCGCCACUCUCUCGCUCUCUCUUCCUGUCAGAGCAGACGGAUGACAACGACCACCACUGCUGCAGGUCCGGUGGGACCCAGAUCAAAGGUCUGUCCAACAACAAGGAGCACUGACAGGCUGCUUUGGCAUAUGUUGGGCCCAUCUAUUGGACCAUGGGGAAGGUGAGAGAGUGAGAGCUUUCUAGCUUACUAUUUUCCUCAUCACACUGUCAGAGAGGCUCGUCUCCAGAGACUUUUGGCCAGUUUGUGUGGUCAAAACAAGAGAGUCACACAAGGGGGAAAACAGCAAUCACCAGACUGGUACUUUAGACUGACCUGUAGCUUGACCUACUGUCAAAUUCUCCACCUUUUUCCAUUCUGAUGCUCCCUUUUGGCUGAUUUUGACUGAUUAGUUUUGUUUUGUUUAGCCUUUUGUUGUUCCUCAGCCCCACCGUCUUCCUCCUUUUCACUUCUAGGCAGCAGGGAUCAUAUCUCAUAUUGUAUCCCAAAGACUUUGAUUGUAAUCCUGUUGCUUUCUGAAGGAAAAACACCACAAGCUGACAGAAGACAAAGCACCAUCCACCCACAGGAUCCCGGGAAGCCCUCAGACACCAAAAAUGAUGAAAUGCUUUGGCUGAGAGGUAAACUAUUAAUAGACUCCUCCACCUGAAACUGUCACUGUGAUCCCUGCUCUACAGCCCCACAUCCACACCAGGAGCACCUUUCAGGGACCUGUGAAGGGCUGCUGAGAAGGACUAUCACAUAUGCUGAGGUGCACACAGCACCUACUGUACAGAAGGCACGCUUAUCCAGAGACCAAUAUGUUUCAUAAUUGAUAGAAGUAUGCACGUGUCAGUAACUUGAUGACGCGAAAGCAAAGUGCGGGCAUGCAGAUAUUUCAUAUUGAGCUGAUUCUGGGUGUAUAACUGCAAAUCUGUUACAAAAGCCUAAAGUGUUGUAGAGUCAAAUAGAGGAUGAUAGUAAAACAGGCACGCCUGCAUUUUUCAUGGCCAACUAAUUAGCCAUUUCCCCUAAGAAGCACAAUAAGAGCUCUUGUGUGUGUCACUGCCGUCUGCUGUGCAUAAUGAAUAAAACGCUCAUUUUAAAUAUUUUGGGGACAACUUUCGGGAUGUAAAUCAGCCAGCAGUAAAGUUAUGUCAGAGGAAA
rnacentral:lncRNA from 15 species